CAAAAUACAUGUCUUUUUCAGGGUGAAAAGAAAGUCUCUUGUCUUGAAAAAUAUAAGCAGGACGUGGUGACUCUUGGAAACGGGAAAAGCUAUCAUUUCUCAACAGAAAGGAAAAAUUGGUAUCAAGCGAAGGAUUAUUGCGCGGAGAAGGGCAUGCGUUUGGCGUCCCCGAAAACUCAAGAAGAACUCGAUAUCCUGCAUGAAAAAAUAAACGAAUAUUUUGAACUUGGUCUUUUCUGGUUGUCGGCGUCGGACGUUGGGCGGAAAGGAAUCGAAUUCCGGUGGCUGGACGGGGAAGUUCUUCCUGUCAGCAGCUCCUUGUGGGACAAAGGCACGAAGCAACCCGACCAUUUUGGCAUUCGCGAAGAAUCCUGCGCUUUCAUUUCAACAUAUUACGGAAGUAACAAGUUGCUCGACCAUGAAUGCUUGUCAUCGUCAUUAUCCGGCAGUUUGUGUGUGGCCGUCGAUUGCGUCUAAAGAACUUUUAAGUUAUCUUGUUUG